rnacentral:tRNA from 1 species
GCGCCCGUAGCUCAGCUGGAUAGAGCGUCGGCUUCCUAAACCGGGGGUCGCAGGUUCGAGUCCUGCCGGGCGCACCA